CUGGGUCGUGGAUUUGAUACCCUGCUCCCCCAACCUUUGAAAACUCGGGAAAAUACGAGUGUUAAUGGGGAGAAAGCAGGAACUCAGGAUGCCACCACCACAGCUCCUCCCACGCACAAACUCGGGAGUCGGACUUAACGACUGUCCCCUUACGACCCUCGCCGUGGCCGCACCAUCUGUGAAGCAGCGGGGCUGCAGGCUUAGAGCUGCCAGCGCAGCUUCUAGGCUGGGCCGAAUUGGACGCGAAGGGACUGGACAGGACGCCCGGGGUCUGGGCCCGCUGCCAGCCAGAUAAGAUGCAGGUUUCCUGGGUCUCCCUGAGUCCUGUCUACGCCUGGUGCAGACCACAGCGCCACAGAGGCUACGCCAGGGCCGCCAGGAACCGCUCACGGUAGGGGAGCAACGAAGUGGACUAGAGCGUGGCCUGAAGGUGAAGGGACAUCACAACGCCAGAACGGGCCGUCACCCCACCCCUCUGCCCCAGAGAGGCCUCUGAUUGGACAGUUUAUAAGUCCCUGCCCCCACGCGCCUGAGUGACAACCACGGGGAGGACCUGUGGCUUUGCUGUACCAGCUCUGUCGGAGGCCCAGAAUCUGUCUCUUCCCUCCCUCCCCAUCCUGCACCCCACCGACAGCUUUUAAACAGAACUUGUUCCUGGCCUGAGGCUUAUUCCUUUGUCUUUUCCACAGUUCGUCGGAAGGCGUGGUCAGAGUUGCUAGCAGAAUCCCUGAUUCAGUUUCAAGAUGAUUCAGUUUCAGCAAGUACACUCGAGGGUGGGGCAGGUCAGGCCACCCUGGAAUGAGAGGGUGUGAUACCUUGUAGAGGGUCCAGGAUUCGGCGUAAGGCUGCGAUCUCACUCAUAGAACUGUGACCCUUGUUUAGAAACAUAGACAAUCUGACCUCACCGUUUGUAACAGAGUCUGGCUCCAAUUUAGUCUUGAUCCUUCCAAGCCUUGAACUUCCCACCCAUCCCUUUCCCAGACCUUCUCAUCUGGCUCUUAAGAGAAAGAAUCCUAGAGCUCUAGGCUCUGGAGCGAAGCUGGAACCCCGCCGGGCACAGGGACUCUUCUCAACCUAAUCACAAGGUGUGAGAUGUGUUCAUUACAUUCUCAGGUGUAUGUUGGACACUAAAAAAAAUUAAUUUUAGGUCAGUUUUUCCUUGUGACCCUAGAAAACUUAAAAAUGUAAGUAGAUUUAAUAUCUCUAACAUUUAAUUCCUAUUUUUAUUGCUAUAAGCAAAACUAUUAUAAAUCAUCAUGUAAUUUUGGGAUGCACUCGGGAACUUUCCCAGUUUUACUGAGGUAUAAGUAACUAGUAAAAGUAUAUUUAAAGAU